CAGGGUUUCUUCUCAAAGGGGUGCUUCCUUUUCUCAGGAAUUCCAUGUUUUGCAGGUCUCCCCUCCCAAAUAUUGCACGAGUUUGUGGAUUUUAAGGUGAAAUUGGGAAGCAAGGGAAGAAUUUUGGAAGAUCCGGUGGCUGAAGUUCAUAAUCUUUGAAUUUCUUCUGCUGCAUUCUUAUCGGAGAGGUAUUUUUCAUUGUAUUUCCCUUUAUUGCCUCAACUGUUAGGAGGGUUUUAUUAGUAUUAUUUUUUUCCCCAAAAAGAAUAGGGUGCUACAUUACUUUUUCUUAUUCUGGCUCAUUUCUUAUCAUUCUUACAUGAAGCUCUUGUCCUUCUUUUAUUACCAUUUGGGAUUGAGUUUGGAACUUUGGGCCGAGAGUUUCAAGUGUUUCACAUUCCUCCUGCUUGAUAGGUCUCUGGAUCUUGCUUCAGCAGAUUUUUGAUGGAAAAAUUGCAGAUUUUUGAUGGAAAACUUGCUUAUUUUUGGCAAUUUCUUGCUCAAUUCUGUAGAAAA
rnacentral:lncRNA from 1 species